GAUGAAGAACGUAGCGAAUUGCGAUAAGUAAUGUGAAUUGCAGAUUUUCAGUGAAUCAUCGAAUCUUUGAACGCACCUUGCGCUCCUUGGUAUUCCGAGGAGCAUGCCUGUUUGAGUGUCAUUGUACUCUCACUCUCCCGAUCUUUGGAUCGGGAGUGGUGGACUUGGGUGUUGCUGCUUUACCGUGGCUCACCUCAAAUGGAUUCGUGCAACUCCUGGUUGGACAUAGUACGGCGUGAUAAGUGUCGUCGCCGGCACCUCACUAGAGGGUGGCUGACCGGGAGCUCUGUGCUUCAAACCGUCUUCGGACAACAACUGACAACUUGACCUCAAAUCGAGUAGGACCACCCGCUGAACUUAAGCAUAUCAAUAAGCGGAGGA
rnacentral:misc_RNA from 1 species